rnacentral:rRNA from 1 species
UACGGAGGAUGCAAGCGUUAUCCGGAUUUAUUGGGUUUAAAGGGUGCGCAGGUUGUUUGAUAAGUCAGUGGUGAAAGUCUGUCGCUUAACGGUAGGAUUGCCAUUGAUACUGUUGGACUUGAAUAUGGAUGAGGUAGGCGGAAUGUGUAGUGUAGCGGUGAAAUGCUUAGAUAUCACACAGAACACCGAUUGCGAAGGCAGCACACUAAGUCAUUAUUGACGCUGAGGCACGAAAGUGUGGGGAUCAAACA